UUGAGAUGAAGUGAGGCAAAUUUAUUGCUGGAUUACUGUCACUUAAUUAAAAAACCAACCAAACAAAAAAUACCCCACCAACAAACAGCAACCAAAAAAACCCCACAUGCAACCCUAGGAAAGAAUUUAUUUCUUUUUUUUAGAACUGCAGUCUUAAACAUGAAUGCAAAAUUUCACUGUUACUUCAAGAGAGGAGCAGUCAAGGUGUAUUCUCUUAAUUCUUCUUCAUCUGACCACACAAUAACCUCAACUGAGUUGAGUGAAUUAACUGAAUAUGCCUGAAGCAAAUAAUAAGCAUUCCUGACUUCUGUGUAUGUGUGGAGAGCCUGCUCCUAUGGAAUUUCGGUUGUGCAUCUUCAGCAGAGCUCUUACUUUCAGGGGUUCGGAAGAAUCUAACAGAGCUGCCUGCAUACAUGAUUCCCAGCUUUCAUCAAGAUCUUCUUAAGACACAAGGAUGGAGAUAGCCCUGUUAGUUUGCAGAAGUUGUUUAUUGUGAACUGGCUAGAAGGCUUAUUGUAAUGAAGUGGAGUGCUUGGGUCCAUGCUGUGAGAAUCUUUCAUUGAGAUGAUUGAAAUCGCUGCAGUGAGAAUGGAAAUUACUUGGGCUCCUUUCCUUUUAAAAGCUGCAUGCAAGAACUGUGUGGUGAGUCAAAUGUAGACUAAUGGUUAUGUAAAUGUCACUAAUUUUAGAUACAGAUCUGAAAGUGUGUUUCCUUUUAAGAUUUUAUUUUCUUCACUAUCAUGACUCAGUAUCACUUGCUAAUCUAAUUUUAUUAGCCCUGUUGUAUUUUACCAUUUAAAAUACACAUGCCUUCUUCAAUUAAAUGCUCACAGAGUCAAGUUUAUAUAUCAUAUAGAUGUUUUAAAAGGAGGAAAAAAGCUUAUCUGCACUGGAGAUUUGUUUUCACUUCAGCCUUCACAAGCCUGCUACUGGUGCAGUUGCACAGGUACAAACAUGAUGUAGAUGAAUAUGAAUCCAAGUUUUUAUAAUUCAUAAAUUUGCAUUAUUUGACUGUAUAGAAUUUCAGCCUGGUGUAUGCGCUGCUAAAAAUUACGCUUUUCUUGUUUGCUACUGCUACGGAUUUGAACUGUUGAAACUACUGAUGGCUAAAAUUUCCAACUUAGUUCAGACCUGAGCAGUUCUCAGCAGCAAACCUACGCAUAAUUAGAUAGCCUACGUCUUUUCAUAAAGAACACUUCCAUGUGUACCUUUACCUAUUACAGCUCUCCUAAGAUACGUGACCAAACUGAGGUUGAUUAUUUAGAAAAAAUAUGCUAUCUGGCUCAAAGGUGAAUAGCUUUCUCACUGAAUUUCUUGAAGUAGCACUAUGUUAUAUUUGCUUAUCUUUAACUGCUUAACAUUGAAGACCUGCACAUACAUUUCAGCCAUUUGAAAACUUAGAAUUGCUUGGCUAGACCAGAUUCUGUGAGUUAUAAAAGAAAAAGAUGUUAUUCUUCUACUAUGCCACGUCCUUUAAAGAUCACUGAUUUUUGUCAGCCCACUGCAGACUUCUGCUUGCAGGGGGCCAUCCAUCCUGUUGCUCUUGUAGAUCUGGUAUUUUAAUAUAUCCAGGAUUUUUCCCAGGGACUUGUAUGAGUAGAUAUGAAUCUAAGGAGCUGAUCAGAAAGACUUGAAAGCAUGCAACAAGUCUAUUUGCAUGGCUUUGUCAAAGUCCAGUGGCCAAACCGUGUGUUCCUGACUACUUCAUUGUGCCCAUGUAGGCCUUUAUAGGAACAGACUGCUUCCUUCUGGUUCACCAUGCAAACCCGUAUCACUGGCACAAAGCAGGAGAUGGCAGGGAAUGGGAAGAAGCAGAAGGACAAAGGUUGGACCACCUUCUUUGUUGGCCCUAGCAACUUCGAACAGUUCAGUGACAGGACAAAAACACAAUUUGAGCACUUGCAGAACCAGAGUUCAACUGAGGAACCAAAGUUCCUGUCAAGAUUAAGAAAAUGACUUGAAGUGCUUAUGAAGGCCUACUCAAAUUAUUUGGAUCCUAAACCUUUGGAAAGGAUGUUGUAUUUCUCGCAUGGUUCACAGGUGACUUAAAUAAUAUUAGCAGUUAUAUUUUCCAGAAGUUUGCCUGCAUGGAUGGUGCCAUAGGCUGUGACCAAAUCAAACCCCCUCUGCCUUGCAACUCUGGGAUCCUAAGGAUUGUGCCUGAUGUGAGAAAGGAAGGCUCACUGGUUUUAGUUCAGGUGCUUAUUUUCUGCUAGGCUUAGGAACUGCACAGGAAAAAGAUGCCUAAUUCAAAUAAAAGAGAAAGAAAAGGAAGGCCUGCUUGAAAAUAAACUGAGACUAGUAGCUAUAUAGGUGUGAAGAUGUCUAGUGAGAGGAGCAUGUCUGAAAAUCUGAUAUUGAAAGAUUUGAGCUGAGAACUAAUAGGGGAAAGACAGAUCUGAUAAACUGGAAAAUCUGAAGGAUUGAAAUAGUUUAGGCAAAGAUUUGGGGUUUGUUUCUUGAAAUUGGAAGAAGCAGCAGCCUGACAGAAGGGAUCUGGCUUGAAGCAAAGAGAACAAGUCAGGCUUGGGGGAAAGGGCUCGCACACUUCAGAUCAUUCCUAACAUUCACUAGGGUAUUCUGCACUUGAGAUCCAGAAGGGAAUGUAGACUAUUAAGUAGUAGCUUUUGCUGUCAUCUGCAAAAUGACUGUCAAAUUCAUUCCCCUCAUCAUAUUCCACAUAGAAAAGAGCAAGCUUAUUAGUACCCUCAGCUACUACUUUGUGGAUUUUGGUCCUGAAAAGGAAUCCCAAAAUAACAGAGUAGUUAAGGUAGGAAAGGACCUCUGGAGAUCAUCUAAUUCAAGCAGGGUCGGGCAGAGCAGCUUCUUUAGGGCUGUGUCCAGUCAACUUUUGAAUAUCUUCAAGGAUGGAGAAUCUACAACCUGUCCUGUUGAGACAGAAUUUCAUGCAGUUCAUUUUGUACCUGUUGCCUUCUGUCCUAUCACUGGACACAACGGAGAAGAGCCUGCCUAUGUCUUCUUUACUGUCCCUUUCCUCCAUCAGCAGGUGUUUAGAAACUUUGAUAAGAUCACACAAACACAAAUUUUUUCUUCUCCAGGCUGGAGUCUCAGCUCUCUCGGCCUUUCUUCAUGUGAAAGAUUGUUCAGUUCUCUCAUCAUCUUUGUGGAAGUAAAUAAAAUACUUCAACUAACAAGGGGAAUUAAAAUUCAAAGGGGGAAAUGUUUUUGUGGGGAAAAUAAGCAAAACACAACCUGAUAACUGUAAAAAGAACAUGAAGAUCACAAAAUGAAAAGGUAAGAGGUUAGGUAACUCCUACUUUAAGAUUCUGCAAUCUUCAUUUGCCCCCUUGUGUCAGUGUACUAUGAAGCAAUCUUUGUGACCACACAGAAUAUUCAACCUAAUGAUAGGACUGGCCAGGUGUGGGUGCUGGGCCAGGGAAGAUGUUUUUGGGCAGUGCCAGCAAGAAGCUUAAUGCUGCUAUAGGUGCUGCAGAUUAGUAGAAAAUUCUGUAGGCAAUGGAAUAACUGCUACAAGUAGAGGAAACCAUGCCUUCGUGGUCACGUCAAGUGAGAAUUCCUAAGAAUUGGAUGAGGUGUUUAUUUUUCUGCCUUUAUUCUUAUAUGAUGCUAAACAAGUUACUGGGCCUUGGCUUCUGUAAUACUUGUAUUCCUCUUUAAUUUAGAGGUGUCUAACUUAAGACUCUUAUGUCUGAAGGAAACACUGGCAGUUUAUAUUUGUAGGUGAGUUUCUUGGGAGUUGUCAUUUGAAUUAAAAUAUUCUGUAAUGUUAUGUCUCCCAACAGCCUCCUAUGUUGUUAAAGCAUACCUCAAACUGUGGCAUACUAUGAUAGUUUCUACACCUCCAUGUCAUAUUUAAAAUAGGGAUAAUAGAAACUUAGCUGAAGGGCUGUUGGGGUUUGGUUGUUUAAAAAAACAAAACACUUUUGUUUAGUAGCUGUACUAGAGUACAUUUCCUUGUGGACUUUUCUAUGGCAUUCUUCAAUUCUGAUUUUAGAGGAAGAGGUGAGUAUUGUGCAUCUUUUUAAAGACAAGAUCUGCAAUCAACUUUUCUUGUUGCCAGCUCAAGUUGAGAAGCAGAGUUUCCAUGUUGUUUAUUCAUGGUCUAUUUGUGCAGUCCUGUGAACUCCAAAAUACUCUGAUUUUUGUCCUCUUGUCACUGAUUCAUUUUGCAAAUGUAACUCUUAUUAUUAAAUACUUGUACCAUUUUUGAAUGUCGUUUACAGAAUAUUGAAGAUGUUACUUCUGAAAAUAUUCUAUACACUGAAGGUAAUGUUCAUGUUUCAGUUUCAUCAUGUUUGACAAUAAAUUUACCUGUGAAGACCUAUUUUGCAGAAAGAAUAAACUAGUUGUACAGUGGUAAGCAGUGCAUUGUUGAAAAUGUAAAGUGACUUAGACCUGUGUAUUUAGCACUUCUACAGGCCAUUGUUCUUCAAAUUUCAAAAGCAGUUUUCUUGGUACUGCACAUGGCACACUUUGCUGAGUGAGAGUGGCCUGUACUGAGUAUUUGGAUACAGAGAUCUGAAAAUGUUUCAGCUUUUCCCUUAGUCAUGGUAUCUUGUUAAGUAUUGAGGGAAGUCUGUCCUAGACAGGUAGCAAUACUAACAGUAAUGAUGGAAAUUUGAAAUGUUUAGACUUCCUUUAUCUUCUUCAUCACAGCCUGUCACAGAAAUCACAAGAAAUGAUACAAAUAUAUCCAAAGUGGUGAGCUGCUAUUUUACCACAGUGUAACUUGAAGCUGAGCAGCAAUUCUUCAUGUAAGAAACAAGUAAACAAAAAGUUUAAAAUGUAUUUGAAGGAAAACACUAUGUCUGAGAUAUAUGUGAAUCUCCUUUCUAAGGUGGAAGUUGCGUGUAUCAGAAUAAAAUGUUUACCUAUAAAGAGAAAUAAGAAAGAAUUAUGGAAAAAAUGCAGUAGCACGAGUGACAAUGCUCAUCUUUCUGUGAGGGGGAUAAUAAUGUUUGGAGUACUUUUCACUACACAGUUGAUUUCUGUUAGAAUUUAUUUAAUGGCUUUCAGGUGCAAUUUUUUUCCACAUUUUAUUCACUUAUAAUAGCUCUGUAUUUGUUAAUAAAUCAAAUUUGAAUUUA